rnacentral:rRNA from 1 species
AACAAACGCUGGCGGCGUGUCUUAAGCAUGCAAGUCGAGCGGCAAGGGCAGCAAUGCCCCUAGAGCGGCGGACUGGUGAGUAACGCGUGGGUGAUCUACCUGAGGCUUGGGGAUAGCCACUAGAAAUAGUGGGUAAUACCGAAUACGGUGCAUGCCGUGAGGGCAUGCAAGAAAGGUGCUACGGCAUCGGCCACAGAUGAGCUCGCGUCCCAUUAGCUAGUUGGUGAGGUAACGGCCCACCAAGGCGAUGAUGGGUAGCCGGCCUGAGAGGGUGUACGGCCACACUGGGACUGAGAUACGGCCCAGACUCCUACGGGAGGCGGCAGCUAAGAAUAUUCCGCAAUGGACGAAAGUCUGACGGAGCGACGCCGCGUGGAUGAAGAAGGCCGAAAGGUUGUAAAAUCCUUUUGCUGGGGAAGAAUAAGUCUGGGAGGGAAUGCCCGGAUGAUGACAUGAACCGGCGAAUAAGCCCCGGCCAACUACGUGCCAGCAGCCGCAGUAACAC